CACGAUUCCCCCAAAACACACUCGCCGCUUUCUUUCAUCCCGAACCCAAAGAUCAAAUCUGGCAACUCGUGAUUGUCCCCGCCGACAAACUGACUGCUGUGCACUGUCGAUCUUAGCUUGAAGACGAAAUCCCACCGAAACCCAACAUCGAAAUCCUAUUUGAAGAUGGAAGUCAAAACGUAGAUGAUGGACAAAGGUAUUUCGCUUCUUGGUUCUAAAUAAAUUAGCUCAUACAUUGAAGUGGCAGUCGAGUUCUUUUCUAUUAUGUAUCAGAUUCCGAAGAUAAAGCUUACAGGAUUUAUAACAUCAAUUAUUUCACAUGCAUGUGAUUCAACAAACUUCCCACCUAUAUAAUUAAUAACCUUCAGCUACAAUUGAACUCAUACCACCAGCAAAGAAAAGAAAUCAGUAGUGUCCACUGCCAUUUGGACAAGGAGCCAAGAGAAAUAGAUAUAGUAUAUAAAAAGGCUUAACAUUUGAAGUGGCAGUCGAAACAUAGAUUAUGGACAAAGUUAUUUUGCUUCUUGAUUCUAAAUAGGUUAGCUCGUACAUUGAAGAAGGUAGUCGAAACCUAGAUUAUGGAUAAAGGUGUUGUGGUUCUUGGUUGUAAGUAGGUUAGCUCACACAUUGGUUUAUCCAGUUAAUAGUUGAAUUUGUAGCCAAUUUAGAAACCGAAUGAUGGUGAAAAAAGUAUCCAUAUUUUACUCAAUUUAAGUGCAAGAGUGUAGUAAAAUAGUAUCCUCAUUAUAGAAAUUCAUAAAUACGAAUGGAAUUGUGAACGCUCAAGGUAAAUACAAAGGUAGUUCGUUAUAAUGAAUGUAUCGUCAUACAGGUUUAAAGCAUAUACUAAUUCUCAUCUUGUACUCUAGGUGAUAUCAUGCCAUAUUACUAUCAACUGUUCCCCGAUCAAGGUGCCCCAAGUUUGUGAUUCUAGCUGGAAAGGUAUAUUUGCACACAUUUAUGAAUGAUCUGUGUUUUGUUUUUGUAAUAUUCAAUGAUCAAGAAUGAGCGUUUCUGCCUAGGUUAUUUUAUAAAACAAUAUUAGUCGUCAAAAAGGCGUUAUGUGUACAUUUAUGCAUGGUUAUCAUGAGAUAAUGUCAUGUGCCAUUUUUUACACUGUACCAGUUUCUUAUUUUAGUAAAAAUUAUCUUGUAGAUUUCUUUAACAGCAACCUAAAAUUUUCACACUUUGUUUUCUACAGAACCAACUCUCUCAGCUGCAUGACAAGAGUUUCAUCUGGCAACGGCACAAGGAGUCCACUUCUAAAGAUAAUAUUACUCCACUUCGUAAAUUUUGUGUGAUGAAAAAUCGGGACAUUUGUCACGUGAGGCAACACGAGCUACAUCUUGGGAUCAAUAAUGUCAGUGCAAGAAUGUUUUUGAAAGAUGAGAAAUUAAGCUUGUAAUGUGCUUUUGUCAUAAUUUUUCAAAAAUGUAGUACUGAGACAUUUUGGGACAUGUUGAUUAAAGUAAAUUUGCU
rnacentral:lncRNA from 1 species